ACAUACGACCAUACCUACUGGAGAACUCGGGAUCCCGUCCGCUCUCCCAUAGAUAAGCCAGUGAGGGUCGGACUAGUAGUUGGGUGGGUGACCACCAGCGAAUCCCUGAUGUUGUAUGUU
rfam:Verticillium longisporum isolate VL1 genome assembly, contig: scaffold_173